GUAAUCGUGUCUUACGGACCACUAUGGUUAAAGUGUCCAACUUGUAUGCGGGAUGUCGCGGGUUCGAACCCCGGCCGAGUCAUACC